rnacentral:rRNA from 1 species
CAAUAGCGGAGGAAAAGAAACCAACAGGGAUUGCCUUAGUAACGGCGAGUGAAGCGGCAAUAGCUCAAAUUUGAAAUCUGUCUCUUUUAGAGUCCGAGUUGUAAUUUGUAGAGGAUGUUUCGGCUUACGCCCCGGUUUAAAUUCCUUGGAACAGGAUGUCAUAGAGGGUGAGAAUCCCGUUUGUGGCCGGCGGCUUCCGCUAUGUGAAACUCCUUCGACGAGUCGAGUUGUUUGGGAAUGCAGCUCUAAAUGGGAGGUAAAUUUCUUCUAAAGCUAAAUAUUGGCCAGAGACCGAUAGCGCACAAGUAGAGUGAUCGAAAGAUGAAAAGCACUUUGGAAAGAGAGUUAAAAAGUACGUGAAAUUGUUGAAAGGGAAGCGCUUGCGACUAGACUUGUCUUCAGUUGCUCCGCCGGUCCUUCGACCGGUGUAUUCUUCUGUUGUCAGGCCAGCAUUAGUUCGGGCGGUUGGAUAAAGGCUUUGGGAAUGUGACUCUCUUCGGGGAGUGUUAUAGCCCAUUGUGCAAUACAGCCUGCCUGGACUAAGGACCGCGCUUCGGCUAGGAUGCUGGCGUAAUGGUCGUAAGCGGCCCGUCUUGAAACACGGACCAAGGAGUCUAACAUCUAUGCGAGUGUUUGGGUGUCAAACCCGUGCGCGUAAUGAAAGUGAACGGAGGUGGGAACCUUUUAGGUGCACCAUCGACCGAUCUUGAUGUCUUCGGAUGGAUUUGAGUAAGAGCAUAACUGUUGGGACCCGAAAGAUGGUGAACUAUGCCUGAAUAGGGUGAAGCCAGAGGAAACUCUGGUGGAGGCUCGCAGCGGUUCUGACGUGCAAAUCGAUCGUCAAAUUUAGGCAUAGGGGCGAAAGACUAAUCGAACCAUCUAAUAGCUGGUU